CAAGAUCAUCAGGGAGUCCUGGAAGCAGAGGAUAUUGGUUUCGGCUUCUGUCACCACGUGAUGGCUUGCUCCUAGUAGGAUGAAUGGAUGGUUUAAUGUCUGGUUGAAGGCAGAGCUUAGAUCCAGGGACAUAUUUUUUUGCACUGACAACCGUUUUGAGGCCUGCAUCUACUCUACAUAGACAAGCUGUGGUAUCAACCAGAGGAGGUUGAAUCGUUCUAUCCAUAGUUUCGGCUUCAAGGAUUAGCCAACACCUGAUUUAUCAAAUUCCCAACUUCAAAACUAAAGAACCAGUCUCUCAAUCAUUUAUCCCCUGCAUUAGAAACUAACAAAUCCCAAAUGCAUAAAGAUGAUCAGCAGCACCAGUCCACAUCUAGAACCCACCUCCAACAUGCAAACUUUUCACAAAUGUUUGUAAGCAAUUGAAUUUCAGGAGAUAUAACCUCUCAAGCUUCCAAAUUGCACCUUGAAAGUAAACAAUCCAGCUCAAGACAACUAAUAGUCAACCGAAAAACCAACUUAAAACUGGCUAAUUAAUA
rnacentral:misc_RNA from 1 species